rnacentral:rRNA from 1 species
UGAGGAAUAUUGGUCAAUGGGCGGAAGCCUGAACCAGCCAUCCCGCGUGCAGGAAGACGGCCCUAUGGGUUGUAAACUGCUUUUUCAGUGGGCGAAACCCUCGUACGCGUACGGGAUUGACGGUACACUGGGAAUAAGCAUCGGCUAACUCCGUGCCAGCAGCCGCGGUAAUACGGAGGAUGCGAGCGUUAUCCGGAUUUAUUGGGUUUAAAGGGUGCGUAGGCGGAUGGAUAAGUCAGUGGUGAAAUUCUGCAGCUUAACUGUAGACUUGCCGUUGAUACUGUUUAUCUUGAGUAUGGUCAAGGCAGGCGGAAUGUGUAAUGUAGCGGUGAAAUGCUUAGAUAUUACACAGAACACCGAUUGCGAAGGCAGCUUGCUGGGCCAUUACUGACGCUGAUGCACGAAAGCGUGGGGAGCGAACAG